GUCAGACGCGUAAUCUCAGUUCAUCCAGAACACCUGUCAGUUCUACAUCGGAGGAGUUUCAUUGCCUCGUCUCUCCAAGUAAUGUUGUUUGGCUCCACAUGACUCCAGGACACAGACGGAUGGAUAUGGAGGCAAAAUGGAAGUAGACACCAUUACAGAACACAGAUGUUCACAACUCCUCUCUGCAAUCCAACUCUCACCCUCAACGGAAAUACACUCGGCAACACAAGAUAAGCCACUGGGAGUUUUCAUUUACUCCCCACAGCUCCGUGAGCUGCUGCAGAAAAGAUAAAUACGAAAUCCGCCUCGGGAGUGAAGCAGAAGGCUGGAGUGCUACUAAUGGCUUAAUGUGGCCCCUGACUGUGUUGAUUUCAGAGCAACCCAAGCUCAUCCUACCCCUACUGGGCAGCUAAUGCAAUUACACCCUUGUAUCUGCAGGGGGCUCCCUCUGUCCCCAUCUCCACCUCAGCCCACUGCUCUCUCAGGGACUCUGUCUGUGAGAACGUGUGUGUGUGCGUAUGGAGGGAGAGGUAGCGGUAGUGACUAGCAGGUCUCAAGCCCACAUUUUACGCUUAAUCAAUCAUUGUGCCGCUUUAAUGACACCCUGCUGCUUUCCUAAUGUUUUCUGGCAGAGACCGCCCGCCUCUGGCACCGAGCUUGUGCCGGCACACAUAUGGUUGCCUGAAGUGAGUGACAGGACACGUUUCAUGUGUGCUGCCCAGAACGCUGGAUGCCAUCAGCCACGCACAUGCAUCACUGGGUAGGACUGACAAGGUGGCGGAAGGAGGGAAAUGACAAAAUAAACAAGUUGAAGAAAGUGAUGGAGAGAGUAGGAGAAUAUGAUUGUGCCUUUCCUGAUUGGCUCGGCCUCUCUGCCUCCUAAAAGAAAAGUGUAGAGAACAAUUCAAUAUAAUCCUGGUUUCUGUGCUGGAAAAAAACUGGAAUAGUUUGAAAUCAACAUUUGAGAGGCUGAAAUGAAAACUGAAAGGUCAUGAGAUACUUCGACCACUUGUAUAGAUACAACUCGUCAACAGUGCAUUUUUCGCCAUGCAGGGUGGCUUUAUGGACGGACAUAUGUGAGUGUGGACCAGUGCAUCAUUUUUGAUUUUUUUUGAAGACUUAAAUAUCUCAAUGUUGCUGAUUAUCGUGACAUUUUCACAGCUGCAGUUUCAGUAAAGCAAAAUACAUCAGUAUGGUUAUCUGAUAUCAAAUCAUUCACUAAUACAGAUUUAGAUGACGGAGCUAUAUGUUUAAAAUGAUUGCAUUUAAUUGCACUGUUGUUGAUGCUGUCUUCAAUUAGGUUCUUUUGUUAAACUCCUUGACAGUUUACUUUGGAUUUCAUUCAUCUAAGGGGCCUUUGGCACAAACACAGGCUCUAAAGGGUUUUGGGUAACUGCUUUGAUAAAAGCGCGGGUAAGUGUGUAAGACUGCGGCUCCACUUCCUGGUCUGAACUCGGGGUUCUCAUGAAAUAGAUCCACAAAGAAACUGGGUCCGAUUUGUAGAAAUGAGUGGGGAGAACUGGAAACAGGAAGCGGUUGUUGGUGGAUGGCGUGCUUCUGGUUAGACCUUUGGGCGGUGUGGUAAUUGUACCCGCUGUUGACUCUUUU
ensembl:lncRNA